UGGGGAAUAUUGCGCAAUGGGCGAAAGCCUGACGCAGCGACGCCGCGUGGGUGAUGAAGGCCUUCGGGUCGUAAAGCCCUGUCGGAAGGGACGAAACAUCGGUAGGUAAAUAAUCUAUCGACUUGACGGUACCUUCUAAGGAAGCACCGGCUAACUCCGUGCCAGCAGCCGCGGUAAUACGGAGGGUGCAAGCGUUGUUCGGAAUUACUGGGCGUAAAGCGCGUGUAGGCGGCUACCUAAGUCUGAUGUGAAAGCCCGAGGCUUACCCUCGGAAGCGCAUUGGAAACUGGGUAGCUCGAGUAUCGGAGAGGAGGGUGGAAUUCCUGGUGUAGCGGUGAAAUGCGUAGAUAUCAGGAAGAACACCGGUGGCGAAGGCGGCCCUCUGGACGAAUACUGACGCUGAGACGCGAAAGCGUGGGGAGCAAACAG
rnacentral:rRNA from 1 species